UGACGGAGCAACGCCGCGUGAGUGAUGAAGGUUUUCGGAUCGUAAAGCUCUGUUGCCAGGGAAGAACGUCUUGGAGAGUAACUGCUCUAAGAGUGACGGUACCUGAGAAGAAAGCCCCGGCUAACUACGUGCCAGCAGCCGCGGUAAUACGUAGGGGGCGAGCGUUGUCCGGAAUUAUUGGGCGUAAAGCGCGCGCAGGCG
rnacentral:rRNA from 1 species